rnacentral:lncRNA from 1 species
GUAUCGUUUCUGCAUAACGUAAAUUGUUUUGUAGGUUCGAGAAUGUAGUUGUACCCCAGACAAGUUGGCAGUAGUUAACAUGUGAAUAGAAAAUAGAAUUUUAAAUAAGUAUUUUAAGUUUUGCAGAAAGAAUGUAUCCGAGACGACCAAUUAUUCCAGUUAUUCGAGCAAGAUUUGUUUCUAAUAAGUUCACAUGGAAUUCCCAGAACAUGUAUGCACUAACUGCCACGCCGAGGCAUUUAAAUGGUGAAAAAUAUCUAGAGGAUGAGAGU